CAUGACAAGUCGAGCGAAGCGAUUUAGGCGGAAGUUUUCGGAUGGAAGUGGAUUGACUGAGCGGCGGACGGGUGAGUAACGCGUAGGGUAACCUGCCUCAUACGAGGGGGAUAACAGUUAGAAAUGACUGACUAAUACCGCAUAAGCGCGACGGGAACGCAUUGUUUUUGUGUAGAAAACGCCGAGACGGUAUGAGAUCGGACCCGCGUCUGAUUAGCUAGUUGGGAGGUAACGGCCCACCAGGCGACGAUCAGUAGCCGACCUGAGAGGGUGACCGGCCACAGUUGGGACUGAGACGACGGACCCAAACUCCGUACGGGGAGGCAGCAGGUGGGGAAUAUGCACAUGGGGGAAACCCUGAUGCAGCGACGCCGCGUGAGUGAAGAAGUAUUUCGGUAUGUAAAGCUCUAUCAGCAGGGAAGAGAAUGACGGUACCUGACUAAGAAGCCCCGGCUAACUACGUGCCAGCAGCCGCGGUAA
rnacentral:rRNA from 1 species